rnacentral:rRNA from 1 species
USSGSSGKCUUAMCAUGCAAGUCGAACGAUGAAGCCCAGCUUGCUGGGUGGAUUAGUGGCGAACGGGUGAGUAACACGUGAGUAACCUGCCCUUGACUCUGGGAUAAGCGUUGGAAACGACGUCUAAUACCGGAUACGAGCUUCCACCGCAUGGUGAGUUGCUGGAAAGAAUUUUGGUCAAGGAUGGACUCGCGGCCUAUCAGCUUGUUGGUGAGGUAAUGGCUCACCAAGGCGACGACGGGUAGCCGGCCUGAGAGGGUGACCGGCCACACUGGGACUGAGACACGGCCCAGACUCCUACGGGAGGCAGCAGUGGGGAAUAUUGCACAAUGGGCGAAAGCCUGAUGCAGCAACGCCGCGUGAGGGACGACGGCCUUCGGGUUGUAAACCUCUUUUAGCAGGGAAGAAGCGAAAGUGACGGUACCUGCAGAAAAAGCACCGGCUAACUACGUGCCAGCCGCCGCGGUAAUA